CCAAUAGCGUAUAUUAAAGUUGUUGCAGUUAAAAAGCUCGUAGUUGAAUUUCGGGGUUCUUCCGUUGGUCAGGCUAACCAGUCUGUACUAGCGUGUAGAAUCUCUACCUUCUGGGGAACCAUCAUGUUAUUAAUUUAGCGUGGUGGGAAACCAGGACCUUUACCUUGAAAAAAUUAGAGUGUUCAAAGCAGGCUUACGUCUGAAUACAUUAGCAUGGAAUAAUAAAAUAGGACGGUGGUCCUGUUUUGUUGGUUUCUGAAUCACCGUAAUGAUUAAUAGGGAUAGUUGGGGGCAUUAGUAUUCAAUUGUCAGAGGUGAAAUUCUUGGAUUUAUUGAAGACUAACUUCUGCGAAAGCAUUUGCCAAGGAUGUUUUCAUUAAUCAAGAACGAAAGUUAGGGGAUCGAAGACGAUCAGAUACCGUCGUAGUCUUAACCAUAAACUAUGCCGACUAGGGAUCGGACGAUGUUAAAUUUUAUUGACUCGUUCGGCGCCUUACG
rnacentral:rRNA from 1 species